rnacentral:rRNA from 1 species
UACGUAGGGUGCGAGCGUUAAUCGGAAUUACUGGGCGUAAAGCGUGCGCAGGCGGUGCGCCAAGCUCGAUGUGAAAGCCCCGGGCUUAACCUGGGAAUUGCAUUGAGGACUGGCGUGCUCGAGUGCGGCAGAGGGGGGUGGAAUUCCACGUGUAGCAGUGAAAUGCGUAGAGAUGUGGAGGAACACCAGUGGCGAAGGCGACUACCUGGCCUGUUUCUUGACGCUGAGGCGCGAAAGCUAGGGGAGCAAACGGG